rnacentral:rRNA from 1 species
UACGGAGGGUGCGAGCGUUGUCCGGAAUCACUGGGCGUAAAGGGCGCGUAGGCGGCUUCUCAAGCGUGUGGUGAAAGUCCGGGGCUCAACCCCGGAUCGGCCGUGCGGACUGGGGAGCUCGAGUUCUGUAGAGGCGGGUGGAAUUCCGGGUGUAGCGGUGGAAUGCGUAGAGAUCCGGAAGAACACCGGUGGCGAAGGCGGCCCGCUAGGCAGAGACUGACGCUGAGGCGCGACAGCGUGGGGAGCAAACAGG